AUGGCCGCCGUCCCUCCGCCGGAGACCGCGCUCUCCUCCGCGGCGGACGGCUCGGAUGACGAGGAUGGGGACCAGUGCCGCAUCUGCCGCUUCCCAGCCGAGGCGGAUCGCCCUCUGCGCCGCCCCUGCGCCUGCAGCGGCAGCAUCAGGUUCGUCCACGACGACUGCCUCCUCCGAUGGCUCGCCACCAGCCGCCAAUCCCGGUGCGAGGUGUGCAGCCGCGAGAUCACCAUCAGCCCUCUCUACGCUCCAAACGCCCCUGCGAGGCUGCCCCUUUCCGAAUUCAUGCUCGGCUUGGCCAACAAGGUCAUGGGUUGGGUUAUCGUGCUGCUCUCCCUCGUCGUCGCGGUCCUCGUCUGGGAAUUCAUCAUGCCCGUCACCACUCUCUGGACAUGGCGCCUCGCUCUCUCCAGGAGCUUUGCUCAAGUGAGACACCUGCUCUCCCUCCGGCUCUCCGCCACCUCCUUCUUUGCAGAUGGGUUCUACAGGUUCAGGUUCAUGCCUUCCGUGGAUACCAUAUUCGCCUGUGUUUCUAUCAGAAGAGCCUUCGUCAGGGACCUUGGCCAUUUUAGACAGCUUAACGGGCUCGCCAGAAUUGGUGCUGAUGCUGUUGCUCCAUUUGCUCUCUGGGUUGCUCGCCUGGAAACUCACCUUCAAAACAGAUUUGGGGGAUUGGAUAGCCUGCAAGUCCUUGCGCUGCAUACUGUGGAAGCUUCCUUGAUGGUGGUAAUAGUUGACAUAGGCAUUGCUUUCAUGUUUGGUUUUGUUCCCUUCACGUUGGGAAGGAUAAUCCUAUGGUGCGUUUCGUGUUUCAAUUUUGGAAAUGUGGAUGAUGUCAACUCAUACGCUUCAACAGCUUAUAUCCUUUUAAUUGGAUAUGGAUUUAUCUUUUCACUGGGUGUAACUUUUGGUGGGAUGCAUACUUUCCAUCAAUACUCGAGGGGAGAACGACUUCUGAUUGCCAUUUUCUUCAAGAUCUUGGCUGAUGGGACAUGCUGGUUGUUGAGCCCCUUUAGAUGGCUGCAUCGUAUACAUGUAAUGAUCCGCAAGACAUUCUCUCUCUGCCAGAUGUUCUUCAGAGGGAUCGCAAAUUUGAUCACUUUUGCCAACUUUUCUCUUAAUGUCAUAAACAUGAUUAUAGUAUUCCCCUUGCUCUUUGGCUGGUCUCUUGAUAUCUGUACUUCGAAAAUGUUUGGUGCAACAAUACAUCAAAGGUUCAAACUUCUGUGGGCUUCAUCCUUUUCUUCUAUUACUCUACAUUGGCUUACUGGAUGCAUCUUUUUGAUACUACGCUCCAAAUUGUCCAGUCUUCUUCGCCCGAUACUGAGGCCAGGAGUUAGUAUUCCAUUUUUCCAUCUUGCUGAAGAGCAUAAUGUGAAACCAUGCAUGCGCGAACCAUUCUAUAUUAUCUCUUUCAAGAAGCUUCCUCGUCUUUUUGUUGGCAUUAUCAAUGUUGGUAUGGUCUUUCUUGUUCCUGUUCAAAUCGCUGGUGGAUUGGCACCUAAGUUGUUCCCAUUAGAUAUCAUCUACUUCGAUCCACCUACUAAGGGCACAUCAUUUUGGCAAGCGCCACGGACCUACGCAGAGUUACUUUCUGGCAUUGUCCUUCUGAGGUUUCUCAUUUGCAAUACACUCAAAUACCUUCAACCUCGCAAACUGGUGGAGAAGAUACUGCGAAAUUGGUUUGCCACUACUGGACAAGCUCUUGGUCUAUUAGAUUUGUUGAUUGUCCAGCCUGACGGAGCAUCUGGACAUGAGGUUAGUAAUAGUGUCGCACCAAAUGACCAGUAUGGCAGCACUUACGAAGCUAUGGCUAAUAGGAGAUCUGUUGCAGUUCGAAUGACACUACUUGUAGUGCUAGCAUGGUUGACUGUUGUGAUACUCAACACUGUUGUGCUUAUCUUUCCAAUCUCAGUUGGGCGUGCAUUAUUGUUGGCCAUCCCUCAGCUGCCAGUAGCAGGUGGAUUGAAGUCCAAUGAUCUGUUUGCGUUUGCUGUUGGAUUUUGCACCAUAUCAACUAUUAUUGCCGCCUCUAGAGAUUCAUUUGUCUACAUGACAUCUGGGAGAACAUGCAUUCUAGCUUCUGUUAUCUGCAAGUGGGGUAUAACUGCUCUGAAGAGCUCUCCUCUUUUGUUCAUAUGGAUUGUUAUCAUUCCCAUUCUAAUAGGAUUGCUGGUUGAUUUUCUCCUGAUAUCACCCUUCAAGUUCCUGGUUGAUUUUCUGGUGAUGUCACCCUUCAUUGUGCCCUCUGAUGACAUUCCAGUUCUAGACUUCUUCAGCAUUUGGUUCCUGGGGAUGCUAUUGCUGAAAUUCUGGACUAAUUUGGCUCAUUGGACAAGGGACGCGCCUUUCCUGGCUCAUUUCAUUGAUGGAAGAUGGGACUGGAAGCUUACUCGGGCAAAGGAUGAUGGCUUUGCAGGGUUGAGGGCAAAGUGGGUCUUGCAAGAUAUAUUGAUGCCUAUCACCAUGAAGCUAGUGAUUGUUCUGUGUGUUCCUUAUGUGCUUGCGAAGGGCCUUUUCCCAAGGUUUGGCUACUCUGCUGCGGUGAACUCGACGGUGUACCAUUUCGCAUGGCUGGGCAGCCUCGCCUUAUAUGCGCUCUGCUACCUUGCCAAGGUAUUCUGGGGUGUCCUGGUGAAACUCCACGAUUCUAUCAGGGAUGAGCGCUAUAUUAUCGGGCAGAGGCUGCAAGACUACACUGACAACAGCUGA
rnacentral:rRNA from 1 species